UGGGGCAGCUGUCCGGGCGGUGGAGGGCUGCGAUGGCCAAGACUCUCCGCUGCCAGCUGACUCGGCACUUGCAAUACUUGACGCUAAAGGAACUGAAGAACUUCAAGCUCUACCUGGUGGACUCUGUGCCCCGGGGCUGCCUGGAGGAGGCGGAUCGCACGAAAAUUGCGAAUCUCCUGGUCUGUUCUCGCGGGCAGCAGGGAGCCUGCGAGUUGGAUUUGAGCAUCUGGAAGAAGAUGGACCUGAGAAAACUGUGGGAACUAGCUAGGAAAAAUGAAAGAAGUGGAGUUGUUCCUGUUACCUGGUACUGGUGAAGAGCAGUUGGAUCAUGACUAGGGUUUGCUGGAGGCAAGAAAAUGUUGGGAGGCUCCUGUAGGCUAAGGAAGAAAUUGAAGAGAAAGGCAGUUGCAAAGAUCUGGGACAAUGGAGCUAGUGGAGAGUCCCUCUGUGAUCUCAGCCGAGUAAAAGAGAAAAUGGAGGUGGGGACCAGGGGAGAAAGGAGGAGAUGAAAUGGGUCAAACUUUGAUUAAGUAUUGUAUCUCAGCACAAGGGAAUAUUUCAGGAAGUGAAUGGUUAGACUGCUGAAGAUAAGAUAAUGCCUGGGAGUCUGUGCUAACUCAGGAACAAGACUAGAAGUUCUUUUCUUUUUAAAAAUGAAUGCUAAAAACAUUGGUGAGGAAGGAAAGAGAAAGGAAAGAAAAAUAUAAAAGGGGGAAAAUAAGAUGGAGAGAGAUAUAGAGUUAAUAUGUGAGUGGGAUGUACUUUCCCAUAAAUCAGAAACAGAUAUUAGAAUGUAUUAAAAGCCAGAAUCCUGCAAUAUGUUGUUUACAAGAAAUUUAAAUGAAGGUAAAAGGCUGAAGCAGAAUAUAUUGUACUUCAACUGAGAUUAGAAAAAUCAGGGGUAGCAAUCCUGAUCUCAGACAAAGCAAAAGUAAAAAAAGUAGAUCUAAUUAAAAGAAAUAAGGAAGGAAGCCAUGUCUUGCUAAAGGGUAUGAUAGAUAAUGUAAUAAUAUCAGUUCUGUGCACCAAGUGUGAUAGCAUUUAAAUUCUUAGAGGAGAUGUUAAUUGAAUUGCAGGAAGAAAAAGGCACCGAAACUAUACUAGUGGAAUAACUCAACCUCCCUUUUUCAGAACUAAAUAAAUCUACCCAACAUAAACAAUAAAGAAGGUAAAUAGAAUUUUAGCAAAGUGAGAUACAAUAAACCUCUGGAAAAAAUUGAAUAGGGAUAAAAAGGAAAUGAUACCAUUUCAUAGUGUUAUAGGGAACCUACACAAAAACUGUGUAUUUUUUACAUCAUAAAAACCUCACAAUCAAAGAAAUGUAGAAAUACUAAUUACAUUCUUUUCAGAUGCAAUAAAAAAUAUUUUUAAUAAAGGCCAUGGAAAAUGGCCCAAAAAUUAAUUGGAAAUUAAAUAGUACAAUCCUUAUUUUGUUGUGUCAAAUAACAAAUCAUAGAAACAAUUAUUACAUCUAAGAGAAUGACUAUAAUCAGACAACAUAUGAUAACUUUUGGGAUGCAGCCAAAGUAGUUCUUAGAAGAAAUUUUUUAUCUCUAAAAAGUGAAUACUAAAUAACAAUGUCAUUGCUAUUGAGGUAUGCACAAUAGCAACUAUGAGAAAGAAUUUGGUGCUAUUAAAAAAACCUUUUGUGGAGUUUGUAGUACUGAGAUCCAGCACAUUUCAUUCAAAAUCCUCAGGGCCCCAAUUGAAACCUUUUACUUAGUAAUCUAUUCCAUUCCUGCUUUCAACUCCCAACUCUCUACUUUUGUAACAGAUUUGCCUCUCUUUAUCUUUUGUUUUGUUUUUUUCUUUCCUGUAGAGGACCUUGGAUUUGUUUCUGCUUCAGUUCUUCCAGGCUCCUCAGCUUCAAAGAAAAUAAGUUCAGUAAAAUAUCAAAAAGAACAUUGACCAACCUAAAAUCAACAAAAACUUUGCUGACCAUUAUAAAAGAUGAAGAUGUUACAGAAGCUUUCCACCUCUAGACUGAUGAAGACAUAGAAUAGCCCUGGUUUUGCCACUUGCUAGAUAACUUCGAAGAAGUCACUUUUG